CUGAGCUGUGUGCCAACCGCUCUUUUUUUUCAUGCAGGAGACUCAAGUUGGCUUCGCUAACGGACACAGUUUUGAACUCGUAUAUUAGCGCCAUUUAUUGCUGCUUGGACCACAGCAUCUUCCGAAUUUGUAGACAUCCUGGCAGCUUACAAUUAGUUCGAGGUGAGGGUGCUGACCCAAAUCUGUGUGGACCAGAACGUACCAAAGAGAACUACAACUCUGCUGUUGAUCGCCUCCAGAUUGACAAUACACCAGACGUCGAAGGAGUGAAGUUCAGACACUGAAUUUGAGCAGAAACCAUAAGGAUACUCAAAGGACCUGUGACUCUCAGGAAAUGCAUCAAAUGAGAGGGACAGAUGAAACAGUUUCAAGACAAUGGCAGGAAAAACAUGCUGAAGAUUGAAACAAACCUUGGCUGGAAAUAUUUGAAGGUAUCUAGCCAGUCCACAAUGAAAGCUUCG
ensembl:lncRNA